GUGCCAGCCGCCGCGGUAAUCCAUUAGAAACCCCGGUAGUCCGAGUGAUGGCCGAUCUUAUUGGGCCUAAAACGUCCGUAGCUGGCUGAACAAGUCCGUUGGGAAAUCUGUCCGCUUAACGGGCAGGCGUCCAGCGGAAACUGUUCAGCUUGGGACCGGAAGACCUGAGGGGUACGUCUGGGGUAGGAGUGAAAUCCUGUAAUCCCGGACGGACCGCCGGUGACGAAAGCGCCUCAGGAGAACGGAUCCGACAGUGAGGGACGAAAGCUAGGGUCUCGAACCGG
rnacentral:rRNA from 1 species